rnacentral:lncRNA from 1 species
GUGCCACUGUGCAUUUGAUUUAUUGAUUGUUGGAUGUUUAGCGCUCAGUGUCAGGAAUUUAAAUCAAUGCAUAUCACGACAAUAUUAGCAUUUAGUUUCCCUUUGUUAAAGGAUUGAUAAGUUAUUGAGAUGAUAAAACUUUAGUAUGUUUCAUUUAUUAUAUCAACACGUCUUUGCGCUAACCCAGCACAAAGUUCUACAACACAUGACAGUUGCCAUCUUAGGUGACGGUACAAGGAACCAAUGACCC